UACGUAGGGGGCAAGCGUUGUCCGGAUUUAUUGGGCGUAAAGAGCGUGUAGGCGGUUUGGUAGGUCCGCUGUGAAAACUCGAGCUCAACCUCGAGACGCCGGUGGAAACCAUCAGACUAGAGUCCGGAAGAGGAGAGUGGAAUUCCUGGUGUAGCGGUGAAAUGCGCAGAUAUCAGGAAGAACACCCGUGGCGAAGGCGGCUCUCUGGGACGGUACUGACGCUGAGACGCGAAAGCGUGGGGAGCGAACAGG
rnacentral:rRNA from 1 species